rnacentral:rRNA from 1 species
GGAUUCCCCUUAGUAACUGCGAGUGGAAGAGGGAAGAGCUCAAAUUUAAAAUCUGGCAGUGUUUUGCUGUCCGAGUUUGUAAUCUAGAGAAGUGCUGCCCGUGCUGGACCAUGCUACAAGUCUCCUGGAAUGGAGCGUCACAGAGGGUGAGAAUCCCGUCUUUGACAUGGACUACCAGUGCAUUUGUGGUGUGCUCUCAAAGAGUCGAGUUGUUUGGGAAUGCAGCUCUAAAUGGGUGGUAAACUCCAUCUAAAGCUAAAUAUUGGCGAGAGACCGAUAGCGAACAAGUACCGUGAGGGAAAGAUGAAAAGAACUUUGGAAAGAGAGUUAAACAGUAUGUGAAAUUGUUGAAAGGGAAACGCUUAAAGUCAGUCGUGUCGGCCAGGGAUCAACUCAGCUUUCUCUGCUGGGUGUACUUCCUGAUCUGAUGGGCCAACAUCAGUUUUGACUGCUGGAGAAGGACAGAGGGAAUGUGGCACCUUCGGGUGUGUUAUAGCUCUCUGUCAGAUGCAGUGGUUGGGACUGAGGAUUGCAGCAUGCCGCAAGGCCGGGUCGUUUCGACCACGUUCAUGCUGAGGAUGUUGGCAUAAUGGCUUUAAUCGACCCGUCUUGAAACACGGACCAAGGAGUCUAACAUGCCUGCGAGUGUUUGGGUGGCAAACCCGAGUGCGGAAUGAAAGUGAAAGGUUGAGAUCCCUGUCAUGGGGAGCAUCGAUGCCCGGACCUGAGCUUUUAGCAAAGGAUCUGCGGUAGAGCAUGUAUGUUAGGACCCGAAAGAUGGUGAACUAUGCCUGAAUAGGGUGAAGCCAGAGGAAACUCUGGUGGAGGCUCGUAGCGAUUCUGACGUGCAAAUCGAUCGAA